rnacentral:rRNA from 1 species
GGCAGCGCGGACUUCGGUCUGGCGGCGAGUGGCGAACGGGUGAGUAAUACAUCGGAACGUACCCUGUUGUGGGGGAUGACUAGUCGAAAGAUUAGCUAAUACCGCAUACGACCUGAGGGUGAAAGUGGGGGACCGCAAGGCCUCACGCAGCAGGAGCGGCCGAUGUCUGAUUAGCUAGUUGGUGGGGUAAAGGCCCACCAAGGCGACGAUCAGUAGCUGGUCUGAGAGGACGAUCAGCCACACUGGGACUGAGACACGGCCCAGACUCCUACGGGAGGCAGCAGUGGGGAAUUUUGGACAAUGGGGGCAACCCUGAUCCAGCAAUGCCGCGUGUGUGAAGAAGGCCUUCGGGUUGUAAAGCACUUUUGUCCGGAAAGAAAUCGCGCUGGUUAAUACCUGGCGUGGAUGACGGUACCGGAAGAAUAAGCACCGGCUAACUACGUGCCAGCAGCCGCGGUAAUACGUAGGGUGCGAGCGUUAAUCGGAAUUACUGGGCGUAAAGCGUGCGCAGGCGGUUUUGUAAGACAGGCGUGAAAUCCCCGGGCUUAACCUGGGAAUUGCGCUUGUGACUGCAAGGCUAGAGUGCGUCAGAGGGGGGUAGAAUUCCACGUGUAGCAGUGAAAUGCGUAGAGAUGUGGAGGAAUACCGA